rnacentral:rRNA from 1 species
ACGCUGGCGGCAGGCUUAACACAUGCAAGUCGAACGGAGUAUAGAGCUUGCUCUAUAUUUAGUGGCGAACGGGUGAGUAAUGCCUAGGAAUCUGCCCAUUAGCGGGGGAUAACGUGUGGAAACGCACGCUAAUACCGCAUACGCCCUACGGGGGAAAGCAGGGGAUCUUCGGACCUUGCACUAAUGGAUGAGCCUAGGUCGGAUUAGCUAGUUGGUAGGGUAAAGGCCUACCAAGGCUACGAUCUGUAGCGGGUCUGAGAGGAUGAUCCGCCACACUGGAACUGAGACACGGUCCAGACUCCUACGGGAGGCAGCAGUGGGGAAUAUUGGACAAUGGGGGCAACCCUGAUCCAGCCAUGCCGCGUGUGUGAAGAAGGCCUUUUGGUUGUAAAGCACUUUAAGCGAGGAGGAGGGUACUCUGGUUAAUACCUAGAUGUAUCGGACGUUACUCGCAGAAUAAGCACCGGCUAACUCUGUGCCAGCAGCCGCGGUAAUACAGAGGGUGCGAGCGUUAAUCGGAAUUACUGGGCGUAAAGCGCGCGUAGGCGGUUAUGUAAGUUGGAUGUGAAAUCCCUGGGCUUAACCUGGGCACUGCAUUCAAAACUGCAUAGCUAGAGUAUGGGAGAGGAUGGUAGAAUUCCAGGUGUAGCGGUGAAAUGCGUAGAGAUCUGGAGGAAUACCGAUGGCGAAAGGCAGCCAUCUGGCCUAAUACUGACGCUGAGGUGCGAAAGCAUGGGGAGCAAACAGGAUUAGAUACCCUGGUAGUCCAUGCCGUAAACGAUGUCAACUAGCCGUUGGGGACCUUGAGUCCUUAGUGGCGCAGCUAACGCGAUAAGUUGACCGCCUGGGGAGUACGGUCGCAAGACUAAAACUCAAAUGAAUUGACGGGGGCCCGCACAAGCGGUGGAGCAUGUGGUUUAAUUCGAUGCAACGCGAAGAACCUUACCUAGCCUUGACAUGUCUGGAAUCUUGUAGAGAUACGAGAGUGCCUUCGGGAAUCAGAACACAGGUGCUGCAUGGCUGUCGUCAGCUCGUGUCGUGAGAUGUUGGGUUAAGUCCCGCAACGAGCGCAACCCUUUUCCUUAUUUGCCAGCACUUCGGGUGGGAACUCUAAGGAUACUGCCAGUGACAAACUGGAGGAAGGCGGGGACGACGUCAAGUCAUCAUGGCCCUUACGGCUAGGGCUACACACGUGCUACAAUGGUCGGUACAAAGGGUCGCUAACCCGCGAGGGCAUGCCAAUCUCAAAAAGCCGAUCGUAGUCCAGAUUGGAGUCUGCAACCCGACUCCAUGAAGUCGGAAUCGCUAGUAAUCGCGGAUCAGAAUGUCGCGGUGAAUACGUUCCCGGGCCUUGUACACACCGCCCGUCACACCAUGGGAGUUUGUUGCACCAGAAGUAGUUAGCCUAACCGCAAGGAGGGCGAUUACCACGGUGUGGCCAAUGACUGGGGU